ACACAUUGUUGGCUGCGCCAUCGCUGCUCCACCCAUCUUGUGCUUGUGCCACAGCCCCACAAACCUUGCCUAAACUAUCCAAGGCAGCUUCUCACCACUGCCGCUAACUCUCCCCACUAGCCAUACUCAACUACCAUGCCGGCGACGUCCCCGUGGCUUCGCCUCGCCAUCCACAAUCCAUCACCAUCGCAGGGCCAGCCACUGCCAUCGGUGCCAGCAUGGGUGUCACGUCUUCCACCACCGAUCUCGCCUCCUCCACCGCGGAUGUAGCCUUCUCCACCAUGAAUCCGGUCUCCUUUGAUCGUGGAUGUGCCCUCGCAAUGGAGGCUGCCACUCGCAGGGCUUUACUGCAUUGUCGCCUCAAUGGAGUGCUUUGGCACCGCACCCUGCAGUGGCUCUGCUUCCCAGGCUUCGUUGCCGUUGCCGAGUGAGACAGAGAGAGGGAGGAGGAAGAAUAUCGUGGCUGAGGGAUGGGGAGAGAACGCACGAGAAGAUAUCUCCAUGACCCACUGACAGGUCAGGUGUUGUGCACGCACAGACAGGAGCAAGUCAUUACUUAUGCUUUAUCACUAUUCAUGUUUAUUUGUAGUAAACAGCUCAAGGCCCAACUCUACAAAAUAGUUUCAGGGCCUGCAAAGUUUUAAUCAUAUAUGUUGACUUAAUUCAAAUUGAAGCCUUCUUCCACGUUAUAGAAUAUUCCCUCUGUUCCAAAUUUGUAGGUCAUUUUGACUUUUCUAGAUGUAUAGAUAUUAUUAUGCAUCUAAACAUAGGGUAUAUUAAAAAAGCUAAAACGACUUAUAAUUUUGGAUAGAGG
rnacentral:lncRNA from 1 species